UACGUAGGUGGCAAGCGUUGUUCGGAUUUACUGGGCGUAAAGGGCGCGUAGGCGGCCUCUGCAAGUCGACUGUGAAAUCUCCGGGCUUAACCCGGAACGGUCAGCCGAUACUGCAGGGCUAGAGUGCAGAAGGGGCAACUGGAAUUCUCGGUGUAGCGGUGAAAUGCGUAGAUAUCGAGAGGAACACCUGCGGCGAAGGCGGGUUGCUGGGCUGACACUGACGCUGAAGUGCGAAAGCUAGGGGAGCGAACGGG
rnacentral:rRNA from 1 species